GUAGAAGGGGAAAUGCCAACUAAUUUGCUUAGCAGGCACACUGCACUCGGGACUGGAGAUUGUAGUGUUUUCAAAUCAUCUUCACGUGGAAGUCUAGACUUCUACAAUGACAAGAGUGAUAGAGGGGAUUCGGCUAUAGAGGAAAUUCCCAAGGAACGAAUGGCUGUGACAUCAAUAAGGACAGAUAACAUCUUGCCGAAGCGUCCACCUGUCUCGCGCAUUUCUUCAACCCAGGAGGGUUUAUCGGAGAUAAAUUCUGAUAGCCUAGCGAGAGGCAAAAAUCCUUCAGAUGGCAUGGCUUCUGAAGGGGGUAGGAAGGAAGCGGGAGGUAAUGCUGCAAAUCAAGUUCUUGGUUCUGCGACAUCUGUAAAUAAAGACGGGCGGUUUCGUCGAACUGCAUCUUGUAGUGACGCUGAUGUUUCAGAGACAUCAUUCAGUGAUAUGCUUAAGAGUAAUGUUAAGAAGGCAACAGCUCAGGAGGCACAUGCAUCAGAGGCAUUGGAUGCAACACAGUAUGCCCGUAGUGGUAAGAAGAAAGGAAAGAAAGGAAGACAAAUUGAUCCUGCUCUUCUUGGUUUCAAGGUUACAAGCAAUCGCAUCAUGAUGGGUGAGAUACAACGGAUAGAAGAUUAGUGCUGUACAGUUGUAACUUGUGUCCCAAUGACGAUUCUUGUGCUGUACAUUUUCGUGUCAUCUGUAAAAUUUCCAUACCACAUUUUCUUUUACUCCAUCCUAUUUUGUGUAGGGGUGGCUUUUAGAUAUAGUUAGGUUAGUGUUAGUUAGUGUAGACAAUUAGUUGUGUGGAUUGAAUCUUUAUAGAUAAAAAAAACCCAAUCAGGUAGAGUAGAGGAACAUCCUAACAGAAUGUUU
rnacentral:misc_RNA from 1 species